rnacentral:rRNA from 1 species
GACGAACGCUGGCGGCGUGCUUAACACAUGCAAGUCGAACGGUAAGGCCCUUCGGGGUACACGAGUGGCGAACGGGUGAGUAACACGUGGGUGAUCUGCCCUGCACUUCGGGAUAAGCCUGGGAAACUGGGUCUAAUACCGGAUAGGACCCCGGGAUGCAUGUCCUGGGGUGGAAAGCUUUUGCGGUGUGGGAUGGGCCCGCGGCCUAUCAGCUUGUUGGUGGGGUGAUGGCCUACCAAGGCGACGACGGGUAGCCGGCCUGAGAGGGUGAACGGCCACACUGGGACUGAGAUACGGCCCAGGCUCCUACGGGAGGCAGCAGUGGGGAAUAUUGCACAAUGGGCGCAAGCCUGAUGCAGCGACGCCGCGUGAGGGAUGAAGGCCUUCGGGUUGUAAACUCCUUUUGCCGCCGAGCAAUUUUUUGAGCGUAGGCGGAGAAUAAGAGGUUGCUAACUCUGUGCCAGCAGCCGCCGUAA